GUGUUUUUAAUCAAAGGAUUGAACACCGUACUAAUUUGUUGUGUUAACAUAUUAACCAUUUCAUGAUUGCUUUCAUCCAUCCGUUUUCUUAAAGAAUUUAAAGAAUCUGCUGCGAAAGAUGGUAGAGCAUUUCGACCAGGCAUGUUUGAUCCUGAAGGCAAAUGUGUAUCAUAUGGGUAAACACAUUAUCAUUGUCUACAUAUGUGGAUACAUUGGUUUGUAUGCCAGCUAUCCUUGUUGUUGGCAUGCCAUAAGGAUACUCCAUUGUGACCAUGGGCAUAGUGAAUUGUUCCAUGGAAAGCAAUAUAUUUUCCAACGAAAUUCAAAUUUGAUGAUUAGUGUCUCUAGACGUCAAAGGGAAAGUUACUGGUGGUGGCACGGAAGCCACCAGAUUUGAUUAUGUCAUUGCAGCUGUUGUCGAAAUAGACACGGGGGCAAUUACACCCAUAAUGGUCGAAACUGGCAUGGGAGUAGUUACUCCAAUAGUAGUUGACACAUUAUCAUUCAAUGUAGGAGUGGAUGCUUAGGUAGAUUGUGGAUGUGAAGAUUAAGUGUUACUUUGUGUAGAUGAUGCAGAAGUACCACUAGUACGGGACGAGCAAUUUCAUUAAGGGCUUUGUCACUUCUUAAAUACAUGAGGAAAAUAACUAGCAGACUAAUGGCUAAAAACUAAAUCCUUUCGACAUCUUUGGCAUCCUUUCCACGUGUAUGGACAUUUAAUCUUGCCUCUUCAGAGAAUUUGAAUCUUGUAUUGUCGAAAAUACACCCUUGUCGAAUCCCAUUUUUGUCGAAAUCAUCAAACUUCUGUUUUGGACUUAGAGAAUUCUGCAGUCUUAGCUUCCACCUUACCUGUCUAAACAAACACUUUGACAAUACAGUCUAACAAUUAUGACAUACAUAUACAUAUACAUACGGGGGUUGCUAACUUACUCUCAUCCAAAAUCAUGAAGGAGUAAGUUAGCAAGUCUACUCCCUACGAGUAUGUUAGCAAUGCCUACUCCCACUUGUUUUUGACCAAAAAACCUUUCAUACUCACACUCAAAAACAUGAAGGAGUAAGUUAGCAAGUUUUCUCUCACUUUGGGAGUAAGUUAGCAAAUCUACUCUCAAUUUAGGAGUAAGUUAACAAGUCUAUUCCCACUUUAAGAGUAUGUUAGCAAGCCUACUCCUGUUUAAUUUUAGAUAGAUUGAAUUGAUUUUUCAAUAAUAAUAUGUGUGAGAGUUGGUUUGAUAACUUACUCCCAAGUGAGGCUUUAUACAUAUACAUAUAUAUAUAUAUAUAUAUAUAUAUAUAUAUAUAUAUAUAUAUAUAUAUAUAUAUAUAUAUAUAUAUAUAUAUAUAUAUAUAUGUAAUCAUAGGCUUAGAAUUUACAAAGCUAUUUUUAAACUUAAUUGUUAAAGCUAUUAUGAUAAGAGGUAUGGUAGAAGAGAAAAUGUAAUACGCCCAUGGAGAUACAACUAAAACAAAAAGAAAAAGAUAAUCUAAAUAAUAUGCAUUGUUGUCUUAUUUAAUUAUCAUCAUUUUACAAUACAAUGAUAAUCUAAGUAUAUGCAUUGUUGUAUAUACUUUCUUAGGUCUAGCACCAAAUGAAGGAUUUCAUAUGAGCACAUAAUAUUUUUCAUUUUUCCCACCGGCCGCACCUUAGUGGAAUGCAUCUACACAAUCCACCCACACACUUUGGUAUUUGAUAAACCUUGCACAUGUUACGUGGACAAUUACCAUCAAUAAAACAUGGAUAAAACUCUCUAAUAAAGAAAUAGAAUGGAAUUUGUUUACGUUUGAAGUUUGUUGCAACCAUAAAUUCGGAAAGAAAGAUAAUCAUACCACAAACAAAAUUGACAAUUGUAGUCAUGUUUCCCUCCUUUUUUUUUUUGUAAUAAAUGUAACUUUAUAAUUUCUAAUGCUCAUUUUUCGCUUAAAUCAAAUAAAUAGUUAUUUUCUCUUAUGAAGUUGUAAAAAAUUAUUCUUAAUAUUAUAAUUAUUACAAUAUGUUCCUUAAGUACAUCAAUGUGUCAUAUUUGUCCCUUUAGCAUAACAAAAAGAUAUGUCACAAUUUUUUUUUAUUCUUAAUAUUUUAAUUAUUACAAAAUAUCUAUUAAGUACAUUUGAUCUCUUCGAGAACAUAUCUUAUAGGUGA
rnacentral:lncRNA from 1 species